GAAAUGCGAUAAGUAAUGUGAAUUGCAGAAUUCAGUGAAUCAUCGAAUCUUUGAACGCACCUUGCGCUCCUUGGUAUUCCUUGGAGCAUGCCUGUUUGAGUAUCAUGAAAGCUUCAAAGUAAAUCUUUUGUUAACUCAAUUGGUUUCUACUUUGGUAUUGGAGGUCUUUGCAGCUUCACACCUGCUCCUCUUUGUUCAUUAGCUGGAUCUCAGUGUUAUGCUUGGUUCCACUCGGCGUGAUAAGUUAUCUAUCGCUGAGGACACUGUAAAAGGUGGCCAAGGUAAAUGCAGAUGAACCGCUUCUAAUAGUCCAUUGACUUGGACAAUACUUUUAUGAUCUGAUCUCAAAUCAGGUAGGACUACCCGCUGAACUUAAGC
rnacentral:misc_RNA from 1 species